CUACGGGGGGCUCCAGUGGGGAAUCUUGGACAAUGGGCGCAAGCCUGAUCCAGCCAUGCCGCGUGAGUGAAGAAGGCCUUAGGGUCGUAAAGCUCUUUCGCCAGAGAUGAUAAUGACAGUAUCUGGUAAAGAAACCCCGGCUAACUCCGUGCCAGCAGCCGCGGUAAUACGGAGGGGGUUAGCGUGGUUCGGAAUUACUGGGCGUAAAGCGCGCGUAGGCGGAUUAGUCAGUCAGAGGUGAAAUCCCAGGGCUCAACCCUGGAACUGCCUUUGAUACUGCUAGUCUUGAGUUCGAGAGAGGUGAGUGGAAUUCCGAGUGUAGAGGUGAAAUUCGUAGAUAUUCGGAGGAACACCAGUGGCGAAGGCGGCUCACUGGCUCGAUACUGACGCUGAGGUGCGAAAGUGUGGGGAGCAAACAGGAUUAGAUACCCGAGUAGUC
rnacentral:rRNA from 1 species